UACGGAGGGUGCAAGCGUUAUCCGGAUUCACUGGGUUUAAAGGGUGCGUAGGCGGGCAGGUAAGUCAGUGGUGAAAUCCUUGAGCUUAACUCGAGAACUGCCAUUGAUACUAUCUGUCUUGAAUAUUGUGGAGGUAAGCGGAAUAUGUCAUGUAGCGGUGAAAUGCUUAGAUAUGACAUAGAACACUUAUUGCGAAGGCAGCUUACUACGCAUAUAUUGACGCUGAGGCACGAAAGCGUGGGGAUCAAACAGG
rnacentral:rRNA from 1 species